rnacentral:rRNA from 1 species
AGUGAACGCUGGCGGUAGGCCUAACACAUGCAAGUCGAACGGCAGCACAGUAAGAGCUUGCUCUUACGGGUGGCGAGUGGCGGACGGGUGCGGAAUACAUCGGAAUCUACUUUUUCGUGGGGGAUAACGUAGGGAAACUUACGCUAAUACCGCAUACGACCUACGGGUGAAAGCAGGGGAUCUUCGGACCUUGCGCGAUUGAAUGAGCCGAUGUCGGAUUAGCUAGUUGGAGGGGUAAAGGCCCACCAAGGCGACGAUCCGUAGCUGGUCUGAGAGGAUGAUCUGCCACACUGGAACUGAGACACGGUCCAGACUCCUACGGGAGGCAGCAGUGGGGAAUAUUGGACAAUGGGCGCAAGCCUGAUCCAGCCAUACCGCGUGGGUGAAGAAGGCCUUCGGGUUGUAAAGCCCUUUUGUUGGGAAAGAAAAGCAGCAGGUUAAUACCCCGCUGUUCUGACGUUACCAAAAGAAUAAGCACCGGCUAACUUCGUG